rnacentral:rRNA from 1 species
GAGUUUGAUCGUGGCUCAGAUUGAACGCUGGCGGCAUGCCUUACACAUGCAAGUCGAACGGCAGCACGGGAGCUUGCUCCUGGUGGCGAGUGGCGAACGGGUGAGUAAUGCAUCGGAACGUAUCCUGGAGUGGGGGAUAACGUAGCGAAAGUUACGCUAAUACCGCAUAUUCUGUGAGCAGGAAAGCGGGGGGACCUUCGGGCCUCGCGCUCUUGGAGCGGCCGAUGUCGGAUUAGCUAGUUGGUGAGGUAAAGGCUCACCAAGGCGACGAUCCGUAGCAGGUCUGAGAGGAUGAUCUGCCACACUGGAACUGAGACACGGUCCAGACUCCUAUCGGGAGGCAGCAGUGGGAAUUUGGACAAUGGGGGCAACCCUGAUCCAGCCAUGCCGCGUGAGUGAAGAAGGACCUCGGUUGGU